CCAAGCCCAGCUCCAUGAAGAAAUGAUCAACACCACUUUGGAAUAAGAGAGAGGAAAGAAGCAUGUUCACUGAAGAGUUCCAGCUUCCCUGCUGUGUGAAGACGAGAGGUUAUCCAGGUCAUCAGACAGAUAUCCAGGGCCCUGCAGCAGUAGAGCAAAUCUGGUCUCCAGUUGAAAACUUGGUUGGUGUGGAGGUCCUGCUUCAUAGCUUCCGACGUGUUGAGCCUUCUGUGAUGAGUAUUGCGCAAUCAUGAGACAGAUGAGGAGCUGCAGUGUGACACCAUGGUUUCUGCUGUGCACAAAUCUAUUUCCAAGGUCGAGAAUGAACCUUCAAGCUCAACAAACAGUUUGCUACAGUGUGCAGUAUGCAAGAAGCUUUUCAUAUUCUUAUCUUAGACAUCAUUUAACUUUUUUCUGUGACGCUUGCAGCAUGAGAGUCUAACUCAGUAAACAUGUAAAUUGCUCAUCUCAUCUGAUCAAUCUUCUGUUCUUUUUAUUAUUUACACCUGUGCUUUUCCUACUGUAACAUGUCAAAAUAUCUUCUGUGA